AUGCUGGAGGUAUCAGAAGUGCGAAUGCUGACAUAAGUAACGAUAAAGCGGGUGAAAAGCCCGCUCGCCGGAAGACCAAGGGUUCCUGUCCAACGUUAAUCGGGGCAGGGUGAGUCGACCCCUAAGGCGAGGCCGAAAGGCGUAGUCGAUGGGAAACAGGUUAAUAUUCCUGUACUUGGUGUUACUGCGAAGGGGGGACGGAGAAGGCUAUGUUGGCCGGGCGACGGUUGUCCCGGUUUAAGCGUGUAGGCUGGUUUUCCAGGCAAAUCCGGAAAAUCAAGGCUGAGGCGUGAUGACGAGGCACUACGGUGCUGAAGCAACAAAUGCCCUGCUUCCAGGAAAAGCCUCUAAGCAUCAGGUAACAUCAAAUCGUACCCCAAACCGACACAGGUGGUCAGGUAGAGAAUACCAAGGCGCUUGAGAGAACUCGGGUGAAGGAACUAGGCAAAAUGGUGCCGUAACUUCGGGAGAAGGCACGCUGAUAUGUAGGUGAAGUCCCUCGCGGAUGGAGCUGAAAUCAGUCGAAGAUACCAGCUGGCUGCAACUGUUUAUUAAAAACACAGCACUGUGCAAACACGAAAGUGGACGUAUACGGUGUGACGCCUGCCCGGUGCCGGAAGGUUAAUUGAUGGGGUCAGCGCAAGCGAAGCUCUUGAUCGAAGCCCCGGUAAACGGCGGCCGUAACUAUAACGGUCCUAAGGUAGCGAAAUUCCUUGUCGGGUAAGUUCCGACCUGCACGAAUGGCGUAAUGAUGGCCAGGCUGUCUCCACCCGAGACUCAGUGAAAUUGAACUCGCUGUGAAGAUGCAGUGUACCCGCGGCAAGACGGAAAGACCCCGUGAACCUUUACUAUAGCUUGACACUGAACAUUGAGCCUUGAUGUGUAGGAUAGGUGGGAGGCUUAGAAGUGUGGACGCCAGUCUGCAUGGAGCCGACCUUGAAAUACCACCCUUUAAUGUUUGAUGUUCUAACGUGGACCCGUGAUCCGGGUUGCGGACAGUGUCUGGUGGGUAGUUUGACUGGGGCGGUCUCCUCCUAAAGAGUAACGGAGGAGCACGAAGGUUGGCUAAUCCUGGUCGGACAUCAGGAGGUUAGUGCAAUGGCAUAAGCCAGCUUGACUGCGAGCGUGACGGCGCGAGCAGGUGCGAAAGCAGGUCAUAGUGAUCCGGUGGUUCUGAAUGGAAGGGCCAUCGCUCAACGGAUAAAAGGUACUCCGGGGAUAACAGGCUGAUACCGCCCAAGAGUUCAUAUCGACGGCGGUGUUUGGCACCUCGAUGUCGGCUCAUCACAUCCUGGGGCUGAAGUAGGUCCCAAGGGUAUGGCUGUUCGCCAUUUAAAGUGGUACGCGAGCUGGGUUUAGAACGUCGUGAGACAGUUCGGUCCCUAUCUGCCGUGGGCGCUGGAGAACUGAGGGGGGCUGCUCCUAGUACGAGAGGACCGGAGUGGACGCAUCACUGGUGUUCGGGUUGUCAUGCCAAUGGCACUGCCCGGUAGCUAAAUGCGGAAGAGAUAAGUGCUGAAAGCAUCUAAGCACGAAACUUGCCCCGAGAUGAGUUCUCCCUGACUCCUUGAGAGUCCUGAAGGAACGUUGAAGACGACGACGUUGAUAGGCCGGGUGUGUAAGCGCAGCGAUGCGUUGAGCUAACCGGUACUAAUGAACCGUGAGGCUUAACCUUACAACGCCGAAGCUGUU
rnacentral:rRNA from 1 species